UGCGCGAUGGCGUUUUAAACAAAAAAUUAGGAAACCCAAAAACAGUUUAGGAAAGAGGGCAUUUCCAUACCUUCUCGGCAUCUUCCUCACCCAAUUCCUACACAACUCUUCCUCCAUCUUUCUUUCACCACUAGUUGUCUAGUCUCAAACAAAGAGUUGUUUGUACUAGACAACUAGUACUUGGUUUUGUUUUCUCUUUGUUUGUUAAUUACUAUGAAUUUGGUCCCCAGCGGCUGCGUCUUUGUUUUCCUAUAAGUCUCCAAUUAAGUGUGUGCCUAAGGCCCGCACUCCAAGCCCCCUCCCUGCUCAAUUCUGCUUUCACACUCUCAUCUACCAGUUUUGUAUUACUACUACCGGAAAGAUUGCAAUCAACUGUACUGUGAAAGGGAUGUCCAAUUCACGUGUGGUUAAUGGUGGGUGCGCUAAUGGGUUGGUGAUGGCUGAUGCGUUGGCCGAAGAUUUUGCCAAUUCUGGUGCCAUGAAGCGUCACAAGCUCAUCAUUGACACCGAUCCUGGCAUUGAUGAUAGCAUGGCUAUAUUAAUGGCAUUCCAAUCACCUGACUUGGAUAUAUUAGGAUUGACAACAAUAUAUGGUAAUGUAACUACUGAAGGUGCUACUCGCAAUGCAUUGCUUUUGUGUGAGAUUGCAGGAUAUCCAGGUGUGCCUGUAGCAGAGGGUAGCCCUGGACCUCUCAAGGGGGGGGAACCAUGCAUCGCAGACUUUGUUCAUGGUUCAGAUGGACUUGGCAACAUAUUUUUACCUCCUCCAAAAUCUAAGAAGAUUGAGAAAAGUGCAUCUGAAUUUUUGGUUGAUAAAGUAUCUGAAUACCCUGGCGAAGUAUCUAUACUUGCAUUGGCAGUCUUUCAAUUUCCAGUCAGUCAAAUAAUGUGUUCAAGCUUUUGACUGGCAGAUUUAUUGUGAUCCUGAAGCAGCAGAUGUUGUGUUUACUUCUGGGGCAAAUGUUGAUGUUGUUGGCAUAAAUAUCACAACACAAGUCAAAAUGACAGAUGCUGCCUUUGAUGAACUAAGACAAUCUCAUGGAAAACAUGCUCAAUUUGUGUGUGACAUUUGCAAAUUCUACCGUGACUGGCAUGUCAAAUCUGACGGUGUCUAUGGAAUUUUUCUUCACGACCCUGUCAGUUUUGUAGCUCUAGUCCGGCCUGAUCUCUUCACAUACAAGAAGGGGGUUGUGAGGGUUGAGACACAGGGUAUCAGCGCGGGGCAUACCCUGAUGGACCAAGGGCUGAAAAAAUGGAAUUCAAGCAACCCAUGGACAGGCCAUUCACCUAUUUCUGUAGCAUGGACUGUUGAUGCGGAUGAAGUGCUAAACUAUGUCAUGAAAAGCUUGAUGAAACCUUGACCAUAAACAUUGCCUUUGGACCGGUCAUGAAACUCCAUUAUGGAUGGUUAAUCGCUGCCUCUCUCUGCGGCAAUUGGGUACUUCUCUGUUGAAGAUAGGGCAAUGGUGGACUUAUGCUGCUCAUUAUCUUUGAUUUAUUUACACCUGAUACAUGUUCAUUUGAUGACGUAAUAAAGGAUAAUUUAUCCGGAAUAUGUUAACUUAAAAUACUAUGCAAUUGCGGAUUGGUGGCACUUGAAAUGGAUGGUUUUUUUUUAA